AACUUCAGGAGUUCUACAUUUUGGGCGCCCUUGGUGUAGAUAGUGUGGUAAAGUAGAAGACCUCCAUAAAUUAGUAGAGCAAUGCUUCAAUGCCCAAAGAGUAAAUCCAGAGUAUCGGUGAGUGCCAGGGGGUCUGGAGAACUGCAAAUGAUACUUUCUGGAAAAGGUGUUGAUAUUUCUUGUGCAGCAAAUAGAGGGGGUUAGAGGACGUAGUGAAAAGGGGAAGGUGUUGUGGAGUGGUAG